GAUCCUGGCUCAGGAUGAACGCUGGCGGCGUGCCUAACACAUGCAAGUCGAACGGAGAUUAUAAACGGAAGUUUUCGGAUGGAAGUUUGUAAUUCUUAGUGGCGGACGGGUGAGUAACGCGUGGGCAACCUGCCCUAUACAGGGGGAUAGCAGCUGGAAACGGCUGGUAAGACCGCAUAAGUCGGUUAAAUCGCAUGAUUUGAUCGGGAAAUGAGCAAUCAGGUAUAGGAUGGGCCCGCGUCCGAUUAG
rnacentral:rRNA from 1 species